UCCCAUGUGGCUCAGUUGGUAGAGCAUGUCAUUUGCAAUGCCAAGUUUGUGGGUUUGAUUCCCAUGGGGGAC
rfam:Salmo salar isolate Sally breed double haploid chromosome ssa02, whole genome shotgun sequence.